rnacentral:rRNA from 1 species
UACGUAGGGGGCUAGCGUUAUCCGGAAUUACUGGGCGUAAAGGGUGCGUAGGUGGUUUCUUAAGUCAGAGGUGAAAGGCUAAGGCUCAACCGUAGUAAGCCUUUGAAACUGGGAAACUUGAGUGCAGGAGAGGAGAGUGGAAUUCCUAGUGUAGCGGUGAAAUGAGUAGAUAUUAGGAGGAACACCAGUUGCGAAGGCGGCUCUCUGGACUGUAACUGACACUGAGGCACAAAAGCGUGGGGAGCAAACAGGAUUAGAUACCCGCGUAGUCCCUGAG